GGAAAACUCACCAGGUCCAGACAUAGUAAGGAUUGACAGAUUGAUAGAUCUUUCUUGAUUCUAUGGGUGGUGGUGCAUGGCCGUUCUUAGUUGGUGGAGUGAUUUGUCUGCUUAAUUGCGUUAACGAACGAGACCUUCACGUACUAAAUAGGAAACUGAAUCUUCGGAUUUGGACUUUCACUUCUUAGACGGACUGUUGGCUUUUAAGCCAUCGGAAGCAGGAGGCAAUAA
rnacentral:rRNA from 1 species